AUGGCGUGUGGGCUGAGCUGGCUUCUCCUGGUGGCUGUGUUAGGUGGGGUCCAGUGUGAGGUGCAGCUGUUGGAGUCUGGGGGAGACUUGGUGCAGCCCAGAGGAUCCCUGAGACUCUCCUGUGAAGCCUCUGGAUUCACCUUUAGUGACUACUGGAUGAGCUGGGUUCGCCAGGCUGCAGGAAAGGGCCUAGAGUGGGUCUCACGCAUUAGGUAUGAUAGUGAUUAUAUAAGCUAUGCGGACUCUGUGAAGGGCCGAUUCACCAUCUCCCGAGACAACAGCAAGAACACACUCUAUCUGCAAAUGAGCAGCUUGAUGGGGGAGGACACGGCCCUGUACUACUGUGUGAGAGACACAGUGAGGCGAAGGCCCUGUGGGCCCAGACACAAACCACCUGCAGGAGGAAGCAGGGGUGUUUUCACCGGAUCAACAUUUUAUCAAGGGCUUUCUCCAGAGGAGAGGGAGCAUGAUAGAGCAGAUACAGGACCCCCACAGGCCGUGUUCAGCCUCUGA